rnacentral:rRNA from 1 species
GGCGAACGGGUGCGUAACACGUGAGCAACCUGCCCCUAAGUACGGAAUAGCCCACCGAAAGGUGGAUUAAUACCGCAUGUGACCCUUCACCUCAUGGUUAAGUGGUUAAAGCUUGUAAUGGCGCUUAGGGAUGGGCUCGCGGCCUAUCAGCUUGUUGGUGAGGUAAAGGCUCACCAAGGCUAAGACGGGUAGCUGGUCUGAGAGGAUGAUCAGCCACACCGGGACUGAGACACGGCCCGGACACCUACGGGUGGCAGCAGUUUCGAAUCAUUCACAAUGGGCGAAAGCCUGAUGAUGCAAUGCCGCGUGGAGGAUGACGGCCUUAGGGUUGUAAACUCCUGUCAUUAGGGAACAACAAGUAGGUUCAUAGCCUACCCUGAGUUAACCUAAAGAGGAAGAGGUGGCUAACUCCGUGCCAGCAGCCGCGGUAAUACGGAGACCUCGAGCGUUACUCGGAUUUACUGGGCGUAAAGGGUGA